rnacentral:rRNA from 1 species
GGGNAUUUUGGACAAUGGGCGCAAGCCUGAUCCAGCAAUGCCGCGUGCAGGAUGAAGGCCUUCGGGUUGUAAACUGCUUUUGUACGGAGCGAAACGGCUUCCCCUAAUACGGGGAGCUAAUGACGGUACCGUAAGAAUAAGCACCGGCUAACUACGUGCCAGCAGCCGCGGUAAUACGUAGGGUGCGAGCGUUAAUCGGAAUUACUGGGCGUAAAGCGUGCGCAGGCGGUUAUAUAAGACAGAUGUGAAAUCCCCGGGCUCAACCUGGGACCUGCAUUUGUGACUGUAUAGCUAGAGUACGGUAGAGGGGGAUGGAAUUCCGCGUGUAGCAGUGAAAUGCGUAGAUAUGCGGAGGAACACCGAUGGCGAAGGCAAUCCCCUGGACCUGUACUGACGCUCAUGCACGAAAGCGUGGGGAGCAAACAGAGAUUAGAUACCC